AAACCAAUUUUUUUUUUUAAAAACUUCGGAGGAAAAGAAACCAACAGGGAUUGCCUUAGUAGCGGCGAGUGAAGCGGCAAAAGCUCAAAUUUGAAAUCUGGCACUUUCAGUGUCCGAGUUGUAAUUUGAAGAAGGUAUCUUUGGGUCUGGCUCUUGUCUAUGUUUCUUGGAACAGAACGUCACAGAGGGUGAGAAUCCCGUGCGAUGAGAUGUCCCAGACCUAUGUAAAGUUCCUUCGAAGAGUCGAGUUGUUUGGGAAUGCAGCUCUAAGUGGGUGGUAAAUUCCAUCUAAAGCUAAAUAUUGGCGAGAGACCGAUAGCGAACAAGUACAGUGAUGGAAAGAUGAAAAGAACUUUGAAAAGAGAGUGAAAAAGUACGUGAAAUUGUUGAAAGGGAAGGGCUUGAGAUCAGACUUGGUAUUUUGUAUGUUACUCUCUCGGGGGUGGCCUCUACAGUUUACCGGGCCAGCAUCAGUUUGGGCGGUAGGACAAUUGCAAAGAAAUGUGGCACUGCCUCGGUAGUGUGUUAUAGUCUUUGUCGAUACUGCCAGCCUAGACUGAGGACUGCGGCUUCGGCCUAGGAUGUUGGCAUAAUGAUCUUAAGUCGC
rnacentral:rRNA from 1 species